UACAGAGGGCGCGAGCGUUGUCCGGAAUCACUGGGCGUAAAGGGCGCGUAGGUGGCCUCCAUAAGGCCGUGGUGAAAGUCUGGGGCUCAACGUCGAGUCGGCCAUAGAGACUGGAGGGCUCGAGCACUGUAGGGGCAGAUGGAAUUCCGGGUGUAGCGGUGGAAUGCGUAGAGAGUCCGGAAGAACACCGGUGGCGAAGGCGGUCUGCUGGGCAGUUGCUGACGACGAGGCGCGACAGCGUGGGGAGCAAACAGG
rnacentral:rRNA from 1 species